UGCCUUCUGAGAACAAACACCACCAUUUUUACAAUUCACCAUGGAUACCAAUAUCAAAACCUGUCUUCUCCUUCUCUUGCUCUUUCUCGACUCUUCUUCAGGCAGCAGAGUGAAGGGCUUUAGACAUGUUAUAAAUCCUGCAAAUCCACCAAGCGAGGUCAUUGGUGACAUGGAGGUGAGAGAGCUCAUUGCAGCUCAUGCUAUGUUGGACUAUGAAAAGCCAAUACCAAACCCAAGGCAUGAAAAAGGGAGGCCAGGUGGUGGUAAUUAGUGAAAAUCUGUCCUUCCAUUUUCUUACUCUAAUGUCACAGCAAUCAAUAAAUGGUGCUCUGCCUAUAAGGAGGGGAUGUGAGGGGCUAUCCGAUCAUUAUAUCAUAAGCACUAUGGAAUAAAUAAAAAGGUUAAAAAAUUUAGAAGAAAUGUAUAAUUUCCUAAGUGGAUAGAGUAACACGAAUCAUAUGUGUUCAAUGCCAAUCACCAUGUAAAAAUGGGUUAUUGGUUGUGACAGAAAGGAUUGACAUGGUGAGACCAAUUGUAUUGCUAUUAUUUUCUUCCAAAGAUUAUUGACCUAUGUUCUUA